rnacentral:misc_RNA from 1 species
AAGUCGUAACAAGGUUUCCGUAGGUGAACCUGCGGAAGGAUCAUUAACACGUAUCCAACGUUAAACAACCCCGUGAACCUUCAGCCUGCUCUCGUAGCCCACGCGGCAACAGCAAUCCCGGUAAAUCAUUGACGACCAGUUUUGAUUCGGGACCUCUGUUACGAUGUGAGAAGUUACAGUUACGAUCGAGAGAAUGAAAGGAUCACUGGCUGCGCAAGGAUAACGCCUCACGGUUGCUAGAGGUCGAUCACCGACCGGCAGACAUGUCACAGGGUCCCCAUGCCCCUUACCUCACCCCAUUACUAAUGACUAGCUUAGCGGUAACGCGCUGAGUAAAAAAAAACCGAACAACUGUUAACAAUGGAUAUCUUGGUUCUC